rnacentral:rRNA from 1 species
GAUGAACGCUGGCGGCGUGCCUAAUACAUGCAAGCCGAGCGAACAGACGAGGAGCUUGCUCCUCUGACGUUAGCGGCGGACGGGUGAGUAACACGUGGAUAACCUACCUAUAAGACUGGGAUAACUUCGGGAAACCGGAGCUAAUACCGGAUAAUAUAUUGAACCGCAUGGUUCAAUAGUGAAAGACGGUUUUGCUGUCACUUAUAGAUGGAUCCGCGCCGCAUUAGCUAGUUGGUAAGGUAACGGCUUACCAAGGCGACGAUGCGUAGCCGACCUGAGAGGGGGAUCGGCCACACGGGAACUGAGACACGGUCCAGACUCCUACGGGAGGCAGCAGUAGGGAAUCUUCCGCAAUGGGCGAAAGCCUGACGGAGCAACGCCGCGUGAGUGAUGAAGGUCUUCGGAUCGUAAAACUCUGUUAUUAGGGAAGAACAAAUGUGUAAGUAACUAUGCACGUCUUGACGGUACCUAAUCAGAAAGCCACGGCUAACUACGUG